rnacentral:rRNA from 1 species
UACGGAGGAUCCGAGCGUUAUCCGGAUUUAUUGGGUUUAAAGGGUGCGCAGGCGGGAGAUUAAGUCGGUGGUGAAAUUUUGCAGCUCAACUGUAAAAGUGCCAUUGAUACUGGUUUUCUUGAGUGUAGAUGAAGUAGGCGGAAUUUGUGGUGUAGCGGUGAAAUGCAUAGAUAUCACGAGGAACUCCGAUUGCGCAGGCAGCUUACUAAACUACUACUGACGCUCAGGCACGAAGGCGUGGGGAUCAAACAGGAUUAGAUA